rnacentral:rRNA from 1 species
CAUCGCCUGUUUUAUCAAAAACAUAUUUAAUAGAAAUAAUUAUUAAUAAAAUCUGCUCAAUGAUAAAUUAAAUAGCCGCAGUUCAUACUGUGCUAAGGUAGCAUAAUCACUUGUUUUUUAAUUAAAAACUAGAAUGAAAGAUUUAACAUUUCAAUUAUUAUAUUAAACUUCACAUUUAAAAUUAUUAUAAAUGUUAAAAAACAUUUAUAUAUAAGAAAGACGAUAAGACCCUACUGAACUUAACUUUAGUUUAACUGGGGCAGUUUAAUAAUCAUUACUUAAUAAUAAUUUUAACAUAAAUGACCUAAUCAAAUUAAAUAAAUGAUCAAGUUACCAUAGGGAUAACAGCGUAAUAAUUUUCUAUAGAUCUUAUAUAAAAAAAUGAUUACGACCUCGAUGUUGAAUUAAUUUAUCUACUACAUGUAAAAAUGUAGGAAGAAAGUCUGUUCGACUAUUAAAUAAUUACAUGAUCUGAGUUCAAACCGGA